UAGAGUUUGAUCCUGGCUCAGGAUGAACGUUAGCUACAGGCUUAACACAUGCAAGUCGAGGGGCAUCGCGGUGCGGCAACGCACCGGCGGCGACCGGCGCACGGGUGAGUAACGCGUAUCCGACCUGGCCUUCACUUCGGGAUAGCCCCUCGAAAGAGGGAUUAAUACCGGAUAUGUGGGAGCGUUACAUGGCACUCCCACAAAAGAUUUAUCGGUGAAGGAUGGGGAUGCCUCCCAUUAGCUUGUUGGCGGGGUAACGGCCCACCAAGGCGACGAUGGGUAGGGGUACUGAGAGGUAGGUCCCCCACAUUGGAACUGAGACACGGUCCAAACUCCUACGGGAGGCAGCAGUGAGGAAUAUUGGUCAAUGGGCGAGAGCCUGAACCAGCCAAGUAGCGUGAAGGAAGACUGUCCUAUGGAUUGUAAACUUCUUUUCCGGGAGGGUAAAGUGGGGGACGUGUCCCCUAUUGCAAGUAUCCCGGGAAUAAGCAUCGGCUAACUCCGUGCCAGCAGCCGCGGUAAUACGGAGGAUGCGAGCGUUAUCCGGAUUUAUUGGGUUUAAAGGGAGCGUAGGCGGACGAAUUAGUUCGGGGGUAAAUUUGUUGGGUCCAACCAUACCGUGCCAUUGGUACGGGUUGUCUGGAGUGUACAAGAGGGGGAUGGAAUUUCAAGGUGUAGCGGUGAAAAGCUUAGAUAUCUUGAAGAACUCCGAUUGCGAAGGCAGUUCACUGGGGUACAACUGACGCUGAUGCUCGAAAGUGCGGGGAUCAAACAGGAUUAGAUACCCUGGUAGUCCGCACAGUAAACGAUGAAUACUCGCUGUCGGCGAUAGACAGUCGGCGGCCAAGCGAAAGCAAUAAGUAUUCCACCUGGGGAGUACGCCGGCAACGGUGAAACUCAAAGGAAUUGACGGGGGCCCGCACAAGCGGAGGAACAUGUGGUUUAAUUCGAUGAUACGCGAGGAACCUUACCCGGGCUUGAACUGGAGUGGAAGAUUGGCAGAGACGCCUUUCGUCUUCGGACCGCUUCAGAGGUGCUGCAUGGUUGUCGUCAGCUCGUGCCGUGAGGUGUCGGCUUAAGUGCCAUAACGAGCGCAACCCUUUUCCCUGUUUGCCAUCAGGUCAUGCUGGGCACUCCAGGGACACUGCCAUCGCAAGAUGUGAGGAAGGUGGGGAUGACGUCAAAUCAGCACGGCCCUUACGUCCGGGGCUACACACGUGUUACAAUGGGCGGUACAGAGGGCAGCCACCUGGCGACAGGGCGCUAAUCCUUAAAACCGUUCUCAGUUCGGAUCGGAGUCAGCAACCCGACUCCGUGAAGCUGGAUUCGCUAGUAAUCGCGCAUCAGCCAUGGCGCGGUGAAUACGUUCCCGGGCCUUGUACACACCGCCCGUCA
rnacentral:rRNA from 1 species